rnacentral:rRNA from 1 species
GAUGAACGCUGGCGGCGUGCCUAAUACAUGCAAGUCGAGCGAACAUACUAUGAGCUUGCUCCUCUGACGUUAGCGACGGACAGGUGAGUAACACGUAGAUAACCUUCCUUUAACACUCGGAUAACGUCGGGUAACCGGAGCUAACACCUGCUAAUAUAUUGUACUUCAUUGUUCAAUAUGGAAAGUCGGUUUUACUCGCACUUGUAGCUCUAUCCGCGGCGCAUUAGCUAGUUGGUAAGGUAACGGCUUUCCAAGGCAACCAUGCGUACCCUACCUGAGAGGGUGAUCGGCCAAACUGGAACUAGGCACCGGUCCAGACCCCUCCGGGAGGAAGAGGAAGGGAACCUCCGGCAAUGGGCGAAGGCCUGACGGAGAACCGCCGCGUGAGGAAUGAAGGUCUUCGGAUCGAAAAACUCUGUGAUUAGGGAAGAAAAAAAGUGUAAGGAAAUAUGCACGUCUUGACGGUACCUAAUCAGAAAGCCACGGCUAACUACGUG